AUUGGUUUAUCUCAGUUGAAAUGACAGUUUUGAGGAUUUUUCAGAUGUAUCAGUAGUAUUACAAGAACAAUAGCAUGGGUUCGAAUCCUUGGACAGCCACAUCAUGCGAAAAAAAAAAAAAAAAAAAAAUCAAAGGAAUCAAUGAUUAGGAUUUCUCCCAGUUCACCCCUUCUAGAACCGCAGAUCGUCGGGAUCAUAACUGGGUAAUGUAGUUUAUCAGUAGUUCUACAAUAUAUCAGCUAUAGCAUGUCAAGCCAUUAUGGAAAUAUUGGCUGUUUCAGAGUAGAAGAGUGAGACUAUUACAGCCACAUAACAAUACAAGUAUCAUGAAAUUAUAGAAUGGACAAAAUAUGUUAGCCAUGGGUUUGUUUCUAAUAUUUAGCUACUAUAAGGAGUUUAUUUAUGAAUAAUUUUGUUGUUGUGACGAGUUCUCUUUUUCUAAUAUUUCUUAGAAGAUGGUGUGAUCUCCUGCUCUAUUUGGUUGUUUUACCUUCAGGUGAAAGAGAGGAUUGUUUUCCCUGAACUUUGUCUUGUUGGAGUUGAUGUUUGAACGAAGUGAAUACCCUUGAUCACUCUUCUUCAUUCCCAAAGAGGAUCAUCGAGUUCCUCAGUAAAAUAUAACAUCGACGCUCGUACAAAAUUUCUUUGUUCGACAUUUCCUUUCGCUGGUCGUGCUAUAUCAAAUCCUGAGUUCAGUGUGACCAGCACAAACAAUAAAAAUAAUUGAAAGGCAUCGAUAUGGCGAGACCCACAUGAAUGGCAGGUGACUAGUGGGUCCUUCCUAUGUGCAGGAAACUAAGAGCUAGAGGACAUGACAAGGUGGCAGAUUUGCUCUUUCUUUGUGAACAGAAAGGAAGCAAAUUAAUGCAUCAUAACUAUUCUCAUGUCUUGAUAAAAAUGGCUUUAUUGGACAUGUGGCUUUAGUUCCUCAUUGUCUAGAAAAAUUGCAAUUGAUAACACCUUGCUAGAAAUGCUUUUGCUGCAAAAAUUAUUGCAUUCA